AUGGGAGGGAACGUUGGUCCAGGUAACGGAGUGAGGAGCCGUCGUAUAGGAUUGAAUGUAAUGGGGCUGGGGGGGUUGUUGGGGCUGGUUGUGGGGCUGGGGGUGGUGUGGGGUUGGGGCUGGUUGUGGGGUUGGAGGUUGUUAUGGGGCUGGAGGUGGUUAUGGGGUUGGGCGGUUAGGUUAUGGGGUUGGUUAUGGGGUCAGACAUUGGAUGGGAUGGGGGUCAGUUGUUGGGGCUUGUGUUGUGGGCAGAUGGUAUUUGGGGUGGGUGGUGGUUGGGGCUGGUUGUGGG
rnacentral:lncRNA from 1 species